rnacentral:rRNA from 1 species
GAUGAACGCUGGCGGUAUGCCUAACACAUGCAAGUCGUACGAGAGUUUUUAACUCUAGUGGCGGACGGGUGAGUAACACGUGAGAAUUUGCCUUUAGGAGGGGGAGUAACAAAUUGGAAACGGAAAUAGCUAAUACCCCACUAUGCUUUUGUAGUGAAAUGGAUUUUAUUCCGCCUAGAGAGAAGCUCGCGGCUGAUUAGCUUGUUGGUAAGGUAAGAGCUUACCAAGGCGACGAUCAGUAUCUGGUUUGAGAGGACGAUCAGACACACUGGAACUGAGACACGGUCCAGACUCCUACGGGAGGCAGCACGUGGGGAAUUUUCCGCAAUGGGCGAAAGCCUGACGGAGCAAUACCGCGUGAGGGAAGAA